UACGUAGGGUGCGAGCGUUAAUCGGAAUUACUGGGCGUAAAGCGUGCGCAGGCGGUUUUUGCAAGCCGGAUGUGAAAUCCCCGGGCUCAACCUGGGAAUGGCAUUCGGGACUGCAAGGCUGGAGUGCGGCAGAGGAGACUGGAAUUCCUGGUGUAGCAGUGAAAAUGCGUAGAUAUCAGAGGGAAACACCCGGUGGGCGAAAGGCGGGCCCAACUGGGACGAAAUACUGACGUGAGACACGAAAAAGCGUGGGGG
rnacentral:rRNA from 1 species